AAAAACUACCAUAAUUGGAGUCGAACUUUCAUAAUGUCAUUACUAAUACCAGUGAAUAAAAAAACCAUAAAACAAGUUUAUUAAAUUGUUUAUUAAAUUGCGGCCCUUAAAACAAGUUUAUUAAAUUGUGGCCUAAAGCAUAUGCUUCUUCUGCAUUUGCAUUAUGUAACGACGUCUUCAAUCCAACACUAUUGUUUUUCUCCAAAACGGAUUAAAAAUAAGUAUGGAAUAAAAACUAUUUCAAUCCUAUUCCAUUUCAUAAUGGGAUUUAUUCUACAAAUGGAGUAAUUUUUUUUUGUUCAUUAAUUUAUUAUAAAGUAAAAAAUAAAAUAGAAUUAGAGUAUUUUUACUCCAUAUUCAGUUUUACUCUAUUUGGUAGAAAAAAAUUGAAUAUUACAUUAGAAAUGCUCUAAAGAAUGGACCUCAUCUCUUUCCAAACUAGAUAUUUGUGAUGGCUCUUGUUUUUCGUUUGUGUUGACUAUUCUCUUUCUUGAUUAUUCUGUCUUUUUGUUUCAUUCUGGCUAUAUUUUUAUUCCUUUUAGAUGCAAAUAAAUGCAUGUCUACGAUUAGUUCUUUGUAUGUUUUUCAUGCAAUUAUGAUUUAUUUAUUUUUAUGAGAAUAUGAUUAAUUACUUUGUCAAAUUAAAUGGUUAGGAUCUUUUAAUUAUAAAUUUUGCUUUGUUUCCAAAUACUGUAAGAUAUAAAUUAAAGUAAUAGAGAUUUGCUAUCCAUAGAACAGUUACAAAAUUAAUUGUAUUCUCUCUUUUUAGUCAUACAAAAUGAAUUGUAUUCAAGUCAAAGCAACAAAUGUAUUACAAUGACAAUUAAUGUUUGAUUUCAUUCAUCUCAUCAUGUACAUAUAUAAUAUAUACAUACACAAAUUAUACAUAUCAAACAACAAACAUCAGUUUAAAUUUUGAAUUCCAAGUCUAAAUAACAAAAUUGUCUAAGAGAAUGGCACAAAAGGUGUGUAUGAUAAUGAUGACACUGAUAAUGAUCGGAUGUCAUCUAAAAGCAUGCAGUGGAAUGGAAAACAUUGGAAUGGAAAACAUGUCAAAGGAAGGCCAUCUCACAACAAUGGAAACAAUAAGGCCAGAUGAUGUUCCAAACCCAGUAUGCAUAAGGAACUGUAGUGUUACUAGUCACAGUAAAAAAGAGUUUCAAGAUUGUAUCACACAUUGCGGAUGAUCAGUUCUGAAUGUUCUAUGACGAUGUAUUAAAGAUAUUUACAACUCUUUUUCGAUAAAUAAAAAUAAUAAUAAUGCAUUA